AACGCACAUUGCGCCCUUUGGUAUUCCGAGGGGCAUGCCUGUUCGAGCGUCAUUUCAACCCUCAAGCUUCUGCUUGGUAUUGGGCUUUCAUCCAUUCCUUCGGAGAGGAUGUGCCUAAAACUCAUAGGCGGUUUUAAUCAACUCCUCUGCGUAGUUAUUUUUCUUUCGCUCUGGAUUUUUGGUUGAUAACUGGCCUAAAAACCUUUUCUCUAGAAGUUUGACCUCGGAUCAGGUAGGGAUACCCGCUGAACUUAA
rnacentral:misc_RNA from 1 species